ensembl:lncRNA
AUCAAGGAAGUGAAAGAUCUCUACAAGCAGAACUGCAAAACACUGCUCAGAGAAAUCAGAGAUGAUACAAACAAAUGGAAAAACAUUCCAUGCUCAUGGAUAGGAAGAAUCAACAUCAUUACAGUGGCCAUACUGCCCAAAGCAAUUUAUAGAUUCAACACUAUUUCUAUUAAACUACCUACGACAUUCAUUACAGAAGUAGAAGUAUUUUAAAAUUUAUGAGGAACUAAAAAGGAGCCCGAAUAGGCAAGGCAAUCCUAAGAAAAAGAACAAAGCUGGAGGCAUCAUGCUAUCUGACUUCAAACUAUACUACAGAGCUAUGGUAACCAAAACAGCAUGGUACUAGUACAAAAACAGGCACAAAGUCGAAUGGAACAGAAUAAAGAACCCAGAAAUAAGGCCACACAACUACAACUAUUGGAUCUUUGACAAAGCUGACAAAAACAAGCAAUGAGGAAAAGACUCCCUACUCAAUAAAUGAUGCUGGGAUAACUGGCUAGCCACAUGUAGAAGAUUGAAACCAGACCCCAGACCCCUUCCUUACACCAUAUACAAAAAUUAACUCAAGAUGGAUUAAAAACUUAAAUGUAAAACCCAAAAUUAUAAAAACCCUGGAAGGCAACCUAGGCAAUGCAGUUCUGGAAUAGGAACAAGCAAAGAUUUCAUGACAAAGACACCAAAAGCAAUUGCAACAAAAGCAAAAAUGGACAAAUGGGAUCUAAUUAAACUAAAGAGCUUCUGCACAGCAAAAGAAACUAUUAACAUAGUGAACAGAUAACUUACAGAAUGGGAGAAAAAUUUUUCAAGCUACGCGUCUGAGAAAGGUCUAAUAUUCGGCAUCCAUAAGGAACUUAAACAAAUGUACCAGGUAAAAAACUCAAACAACCCAAUUAAAAAGUGGGCAAAGGACAUGAAAAGACACUUUUAAAAAGAGGAUAUGCAUGUGGCCAACAAUCAUAUGAAAAAAAGCUUAACAUUACCGAUUAUUAGAGAAAUGCAAAUCAAAACCACAAUGAGAUACUGUCUCAUACAAGUCAGAAUGGCUAUUAUUAAAAAGUCAAAAAAUAACAUGCUGGUGAGGUUGCAGAGAAAAAAGAAUGUUUAAAAAAUUGCUGAACUCCAAGGCUUGGAGGACUUACUACCUGUCAUGGCUACUGGCGAUCACUUACUCUGCCAGGUGUCCUAUUAACAGGGUUUGACCUGUCGUUUAAAUGUAAAUACGGCUUAGGUUCCACUCUGUAAUUUUGAGCUGUUUAUCCUGGCAAUCCGACCUCCUUAAUACCUCUUGUAUUCCUCUCUUCUUUAAAUCCCAUUGUCCUUGUUCCAGAUUAGGCCUUAAUACCUCUAAAGCAUUGACUGUUAAAACAGAUCAAACUCAUCAUGCUCCAAUUUGGUUCUAGCUUCAGGGUUUUUGCUUUAGUUAUUUAUUCCCUCUUGCUUAGAACAUUCUGUCCCCAGAUCUAGUUGUGGGUGGGCCCAUUGUUUCAUUCGGGUCUCAACUGAAAUAUCACCUCCUCAGGGAGGCUUUCCCUGACUUACCAAUCCAAAGAAGCCCCAGCAGUCACUCUUCUUUUACCCUAUUUCAUUUUCUCCAUAACAUCUAUUGCUUUCUGAAAUUAAUUAUCUUUAUUUUUCUUAUGUGGUUAUUUACUGUUCUCCCUGCCACUAGCUUCAUAAGCACAGGACUUUUGUUUGUCUGGUUCACUAUUCUAACCCCAGAGGCUAGCACAAUGCACAGAACAUACUAGGAGCUUCCAGGCUAGUCCCCUCCAAUCCACCUACAGCAGCCUCCAAAGAGCUGUUCCUAAUCUGCAAAUCUGAUAUCAAUCUUCUGCCUAAAAUCUUUACAGGCUCUCUUACUGUUCCUGGGAUAAAGUCAAAGCUUCUCAGUCCAGUGUUCAAGGCUCUCCAGGAACUGUGGGUAUGGACAGUCCACAGCUUGUUUUUGACUUCCCUUCCCCUCUCCCCAACUUGAACCCUCUAAUUCAGAUGUACUAAAAUGCAUACAGUUCUUGGAUCCUCCAGGCUUUUGAAAGCCCACAUACUUUCAUUCAUGUUGUUUCCAUUGCCUGGGAUACCAUUCCUUUGCCUUGGCACUGAGAAAACCCUUACUCCUUCCUGACUGUAGAGAACCGUGUGGUUUAUGAACAGCAAUCUAGUUGGCAGGAGGAGUGUGUUAAGACUUUCUUAUAGUUGUAUAUGUACACCAAAGCCACUAGAUUUACUCAUCUGGGAUAUUACUGACUUGAAAAUUCAGCCAAGUCUUCUUAGGAUGACUUUUAAGAAGUAGCUAUAUUGAGGUAUAAUUUACAUGCCAUAAAAUUCACGUUAUACAUGUACAGUGCAAAAAUUUUAGUAAAUUUAUAGGGUUGUAUAAUUAUUACUGCAAUCCAGUUUCAGAACAUUUGCAUCACCUCCAAAAAUUCCCUCCUGUCUGUUUACAUUUAAUCUGAACUCCCACCUCCAGCUCAAGGCAAUGAUUGAUCUGAUUUUCAUCUCUAUAAAUUUGCCCUUUC